rnacentral:rRNA from 1 species
UAAACUAGGAUUAGAUACCCUAUUAUAAGGAGCUAAAAUUUUUUAAACCUAAGCACUAAAACCUCUAAGGUUAAAACUUAAAGAGUAUGGCGGUAAGUUUUACUAUCAGGGGAACUUACCAGGUAAUAGAUAACACACAAGUUUCUCAACUUUAUUUAAUAGUUUAUAUAUUGCCGUUGUAAGGUUACACUUAAAGUGUAACUUAUUAAUGAAAGAAUCAUUUAAAACAGGUCAUGGUGUAGCUUAUAAUAAAGUCUUAAGGUGAGUUACAAUAUUUCUUUUCAGGUAAAAUAUUAAAAUUAUUUUAAAUAGAUGGACUUGAAAGUAAUAUCAAAAAUUAAGAUUUGAAUUUAUUAAAAACUUGUGCACAAAUCGCCCGUCACUCUCGUUGGAAAAGGAGAUAAGUCGUAACAUAGUAGAGGUAGCGGAAGCUGUCUCU